rnacentral:snRNA from 1 species
AGAGGUGAGAGUGACAUCUGGCUGUGACAUGUUACCCCACUGAGCACCAGGAUUGAUUUGGCUGGCUAGGCAGGUGCCCCCUUCCUCCCUCACCACUCCAUGUGUGUCCCUCCUGAGGCCGCAUGCUCAGUUGAAGAGGACAACUCUUCCCGAUAGUCGAGGACUGUUUCCUCAGUCAAGGGUAUGUAAGUAGCUGCACUCCCCUGCUAGAACCUCCUAACAAGCUCUCAAACCACUAUCCUUUUUAUAUGUGGGACACCACCCAUACUGCACUCCUAACCUUCGCUUGACUAA